rnacentral:rRNA from 1 species
AUUGAACGCUGGCGGCAGGCUUAACACAUGCAAGUCGAGCGGGGGAAGGUAGCUUGCUACCGGACCUAGCGGCGGACGGGUGAGUAAUGCUUAGGAAUCUGCCUAUUAGUGGGGGACAACAUCUCGAAAGGGAUGCUAAUACCGCAUACGUCCUACGGGAGAAAGCAGGGGAUCUUCGGACCUUGCGCUAAUAGAUGAGCCUAAGUCGGAUUAGCUAGUUGGUGGGGUAAAGGCCUACCAAGGCGACGAUCUGUAGCGGGUCUGAGAGGAUGAUCCGCCACACUGGGACUGAGACACGGCCCAGACUCCUGCGGGAGGCAGCAGGGGGGAAUAUUGGACAAUGGGGGGAACCCUGAUCCAGCCAUGCCGCGUGUGUGAAGAAGGCCUUAUGGUUGUAUAGCACUUUAAGCGAGGAGGAGGCUACUUUAGUUAAUACCUAGAGAUAGUGGACGUUACUCGCAGAAUAAGCACCGGCUAACUCUGUGCCAGCAGCCGCCGUAA